CUCUCUCUCUCUCUCUUUCUCUCUUUCUCUCUUUCUCUCUCUCUCUCUGAAAAUUUCUUGUAUUUUUUCUGUUCUUGGUUAUAGGUAAUGGUCUGUUUUAGUUAUAUUGUUGGAUCGCUGGCGAUGUGGUGUAGAGGAUUGCAGAGGCAUUGGUUAUUCUCAGCCUCGCUCAGGUUUCUCUCCACCUCCCAUAGCCAGCUACAGUAUAAUUUGCCAGUUUCUUUUACAUCAACCCCGGAUGUUGCUCACGGCGUCUUUCGCCAUCUUUAGCAUCGUCCCUGUCAAGGCUGCAAUCAAAUGAUCGUGAUAUCCAGUUUACACCAGACAUUAGUCAGGUAUCUACCUUUGAUCCAGUGGUUUGAUACAGUUACGCGUCUGGGAAAUCAACUGCGUUCAUCGUUGCAGGUGUGCUUAGGCUUUUUUAUGCUCACAUCUGCUCCAUUUGGGCUCCACAUUUU